ACGAACGCUGGCGGCGUGCUUCACCCAUGCAAGUCGAACGGAAAGGCCCUGCUUUUGUGGGGUGCUCGAGUGGCGAACGGGUGAGUAACACGUGAGUAACCUGCCCUUGGCUUUGGGAUAACUUCAGGAAACUGGGGCUAAUACCGGAUAGGAGCUCCUGCUGCAUGGUGGGGGUUGGAAAGUUUCGGCGGUUGGGGAUGGACUCGCGGCUUAUCAGCUUGUUGGUGGGGUAGUGGCUUACCAAGGCUUUGACGGGUAGCCGGCCUGAGAGGGUGACCGGCCACAUUGGGACUGAGAUACGGCCCAGACUCCUACGGGAGGCAGCAGUGGGGAAUAUUGCACAAUGGGCGGAAGCCUGAUGCAGCAACGCCGCGUGCGGGAUGACGGCCUUCGGGUUGUAAACCGCUUUCGCCUGUGACGAAGCGUGAGUGACGGUAAUGGGUAAAGAAGCACCGGCUAACUACGUG
rnacentral:rRNA from 1 species